UGCUAUUUUGUCUGGGCUUAGACAUGCAAGUUAUUUGCCGUCGUAAGAUAGGUGAAGGCGAACUGCUCAGUAACACGUAGCUAACCUAACCUUGGGUCAGGGAUAACCUCGGGAAACUGAGGCUAAUACCUGAUAGAAGUUUAUUGUUGGAAGACAUUUACUUUGAAAUUCGGGCCUAAGGAUGGGGCUGCGGCUGAUUAGGUUGUUGGUGGGUAAUUGCCUACCAAGCCGAUGAUCGGUAAGGGCUCUUAGCGGAGUUGCCCUGAGAAGGAAUCUGAGACACUAUUCCUAGCUCUACGGAGUGCAGCAGUCGCGAAUUUUUUACAAUGCACGAAAGUGUGAUAAAGCAAACCAAAGUGCUUCACGCACGUGAAGCUUUUUCUUGUUUUAAAAAGACAGGAGAAUAAGGACCGGGCAAGACUGUGCCAGCCGCCGCGGUAAUACUAGCGGUCCAAGUAGCAUCCAACUUUAUUGGGUCUAAAACAUCCGUAGCUUGUCAAUUAAGUUUCUUGUGAAAUCCUAUGUCUCAAGCAUGGGGCUUGCAAGAAAUACUGGUUGACUAGAGACCGGUAGAUGUAAGGAGUACGGCCGAGGUAACGGUUAAAUGUGUUAAUCUUGGUUGGACUAACAAUGAGCGAAGGCACCUUACAAGGACGGAUCUGACAGUGAGGGAUGAAGGCCAGGGGCGCAAAACGGAUUGGAUACCCGUGUAGUCCUGGCAGUAAACACUGCUCACUAAACAUCGGGACCUCUUCGGGAGGUUUCGGUGCUGAAGCGAAGGCGAAGAGUGAGCUACCUGGGAAGUAUAGUCGCAAGAUCGAAACUUAAAGGAAUUGGCGGGGAGACAUACAACGAGUGACGCGUGCGGUUCAAUUAGAUUCCACACCGUGAACCUCACCAGGAGCGACAGCAGGAUGAAGGUCAGUCUAAAGGGCUUACCUGACACGCUGAGCGGAGAUGCAUGGCCGACGACAGCCUGUGCUGUGAAGUGACCUGUUAAAUCAGGUAACAGGCGAGACCCGUGUGUAUAAUUACUACUGAAAAGAGUACAUUAUACAGACUGCCUUGGUAACAAGGAGGAAGGUGCGGGCUACGUCAGGUGAGUACAUCCCUAAUCCCCUGGGCUACACGCGCGCGGCAAUGGUAGAUUCAAUGAGAUGCAACUCCGAAAGGAGAAGCUAAUCCCCUAAUGUCUAUCUCAGUACAGAUUGAGGGUUGCAACCCACCCUCAUGACGAUGGAAUUCGUAGUAAUCGGAUAUUAGCACUGUCCGGUGAAUGCGUCCCUGUCUCUUGCACACACCGCCCGUCAAACCAACCGAGUUAUGUAGGGUUGAAGUUCGUAUGAAAAGAAAUUUUGCAUGACAAGGUAGGUUAAGUCGUCACAAGGU
rnacentral:rRNA from 1 species